rnacentral:lncRNA from 1 species
AUCGAGGAGGUAGAGCCACACGCUUACCUUAGGGAAACACCUUGCACGUUAUAACUGGACAGGUAAAUGUUUGGUGAAAGAGGAUAAAGGAAAUAGAGCCGGUGGCGUGCGAGGAUAUUCAGGAAAACGUCCGGGGCACUGAACUCCCACCACCACUUAGGGAGGCUUUUCCUGUGGAGCCUCGCCCUCCGGUCGGAAGUCGCCUCAACCUGCCUGCCCGGAAGCCGUCGCCUUAGCAACACAGCGUUGUCCCGUCCUCUUCCCUUAGCCACGCCCAUUGUACUUAGAAUUCUAGAGCCAGCCAGACAUCGAUUGGUUCACUUAUCCUUCACUCCGCGAGACAGGCGAGACUGCAGGGCUCUGGAGCGCGUUUUUGAAUUUGUAGCGCGUAUAGAGUCCGUGAGGUACCUUGUGGAGUUCGUGCUGUGGCUGGAGCCAGCUACUCAGGGAUGUCUGAUUUCUGUGUAGCCCAGUGCCUUGUAAAAAGAAGCUGAUCAAUAAGUGUACAGAAUGGAGCUUGUGAUAUCUCUUCCCCCAUAACUGCUCAUCUUCAAUUCAGUGAAUGAAACCACUAUUUGUGAACUCUGAAGUCCUGAGCUAUGGCAGAACUCAAGCCCCUCAAGUCACAUAGAAAUCUACCCAUCAAACACUGGAUUGCCAUAGAGAUCGUACCCCAUAUCCUGGAGAAAGGACUGCUGCACAGAGAAGCCAAAAAGAACAGACAGCCUCAGUGGAUUAGCAACCAUGUCUAUGCAGCGGUGUCUCCACAAAAACCCUAAAAGCGCCUGCCCCUGGCUCAGCGCCCGGUGCCAACAGAACACCUUUCAGGAUUCACAGCAGCGCAGACAACAAGUCCAGGAUCCCGGCCUCUGAUUGGAACAGAACAGUGUCAUGGCGGAGACGACGGCCUUUGUCUUGCUGGAUGUGAAAACAUCCGCUGUGCUGGCUCCACUGCGGCAGAAUCAAGUUUAAAGGAAAAAAAGUGAUUAAAGUCAGCUUUGUGCCUCUUUGGUGUGGAAGACCCACAGACCUCAAGUAGCCGACUCCCAGGUCCGAGGAAGGGCUCAUAGUUGGAGCAGCCUAGGCUGUAAUCCUGGCACUGGCGCCUUCGGUUGCUGCUUGCUGUUCGCUCCUGGGGGUCUGGAUAAUCUCCCUUGGCUUUACCGCACUGUCUGGCCCGCAUACAGGGCCCCGUAACAUAUACCCGCUCCUGCUAUCACACGAAACUGUGGCGUUGCCCCUGAAUGGAUGGCACCGUGCCAACUCUUCUGCCAUCCGCCCUUGCAGCUUUUUUCUUUCCUCCCUCCCUCCCCUUCUUCUCCUCCUCCCGUCGACUUGACGUUAAUUAACACACGGGUUAAUUGAUUUUAAAAGCCGAAGAAUUACAGUUAACUUUUCCCACAGGGUACAGACGCCAGCCGCUUGGCACACUCUGCCUUUCGCACUAGUUAGUGCAGGGGGGCAGGGAAAGCCCACAGCAAAACUAGCAACUGCUGAAGGAACGUUGCUUGCUUAUUGGAGUAGAGCCGAC